rnacentral:tRNA from 1 species
CGUCUAGCGGUCUAGGACGCCGCCCUCUCACGGCGGAAACAGGGUUCGAGUCCCUUGCCA